UCCGGCUUGUCGCCGGCGGUCCCUUUAGAGUGCCCAACUUAAUGAUGGCAACUAAAGGCGAGGGUUGCGCUCGUUGCGGGACUUAACCCAACAUCUCACGACACGAGCUGACGACAGCCAUGCAGCACCUGUCUCCAGGUUCCCUUUCGGGCACCCUCGCAUCUCUGCGAGGUUCCUGGCAUGUCAAGGGUAGGUAAGGUUCUUCGCGUUGCAUCGAAUUAAUCCACAUAAUCCACCGCUUGUGCGGGUCCCCGUCAAUUCCUUUGAGUUUUAGCCUUGCGGCCGUACUCCCCAGGCGGGGCGCUUAAUGCGUUAGCUGCGGCACAGAGAACCGGAGAGGCCCCCCACACCUAGCGCCCAACGUUUACAGCGUGGACUAC
rnacentral:misc_RNA from 1 species